GCAAAAACUGACCCGACCCGAAAACCCGACCCGAACCCGACCUGAAAAUAGCGGGUUUGGGUUGAGAUUUUCGACCCGAAAACUUAAAUGGGUUGACACGAACCCGACCCGAAAUUAAAUAGGUUAGGUUAAGGUUGAAAAUCUCAACCCGAAAAUGACCCACUUAACCCGAAAUUAUUUUCGAGUCAAAAUCAGGUCGGGUUCAGGUCGGGUCAAUCCGAACCCAACCUUAAAAAAAAGUCUUACAAAAAAAAAUAAAAAAUGAAAAAGAAACUAAAACUACUACUAGGCCAAGGCCCCAAACCCCAAGCCCAAAUCUUUAAACAAAAACCGUAAGUGCCUUAUAUUGAGCUUGAAACCCUAACACUCACUCUUACUCUCAUUCUCUCAGCCUCUUAUCUCAUCUCAGCCGUUUUCACAUUUCCCUCUCUUAAAAAAUUUCAUUCUCAAUUUCUCUGUUUCUCCUCAAAACCCUAACCCUAAAUCGGUUCAAGCAAUCAAGCUUAACGUCUCAGCUCUUAAUAGAUCAAAGGUAAUUUUUAACUUUUAGUUAAUUGUUUUUGUUUUCGUUUCGGUUGUUUUUUUCGAUCUCAAGUUCUCUAUAUUCGAUUUUUUUGAAUGAUCUCCAGUUCUCCAACUUCUCCUCCAAGCCGUCAUCUUAAUAUGCCUAAGAUUUUUGUUCUUAAUUUCUAUUUUUGAUUUGUUUUUUUUAUGGGAAAGGGUAGAUCCGUAGAUCGAUAGAUUUGUUGUUGACUUGUUGUUUAAUUUAUAUUUUUGUUUUCUUUUUCUAACAUUUGCAAAUCAGAUAUUAAGAUUAACAUUUUCUGUUGUUGAUUUGUUGUUCAUAUCCUCAACUACACUUUUCGGUUGAUCUGCAAUUCUCCAUCUUCAAAUCUUUCACCUUCAUCUUCAAAUCUUCCUCUACUUCUAAGCAGUUAUGGACACCCAUCAACCCCUUGUACAACAGCUUUCUUCUGGGAAUAUGAGAAGAUUCAGGAGAUUGUAACUUUAAAUACAUUUGUUUCUUUUUAAUUAUGGUUUGUAAUUUGUUAAGACUUUAUUUUGGUAUGUAAUAGUUAAUUAGGCAUUUAGACUUCUUAUA